GAAAUCCUUAAAAUCCUUAAAAUAAUGGUUAUUUUGUGUGGUCCUUGUCUGCUUCAGUAAGAAACUUGCUUCCAUAGUAAUUCAAAUAACUGUAAAUAUGCACAUCCCUCACAGCAUUGACAGGGAAAAUUUCAGUUGAUUUUCUGCCUUGAAAUUAACCUUUUACUAUCGCAUGCGUAUGUUUGUCAUUUAUCCCCUUUUUCUCAGGUGCAAAGAGGGCUACCAAGGAGUCCGCUGUGACCAAUUUUUGCCGAAAACCGACUCAAUCUUGUCAGAUCCAAGGCUCCCAGAGCGUCUCACCAGGGGUGACGCAGGCAGUGUCACGUACAUUUCCAACACAUGGGUAAGUAAACAUUAUCAUUAUGUUCCUACAAAUGAACUGAAAAUCUGCUUGUACUAUCUUGUGUCAAUUGAAAGCAGUCUGGCUGUUGCAAAUGUUUGUGUUGUUCAGCGAGUUUGCAACAAAUAGAGGAGAUUUAAAGAAGAAGCUUUUAAUGAAUGGUAAAACAAUGUGAUUUGUUGUGGUUAUGUGAGGGAUAUCUACAGAUUGGUAUCUGUUUUCUUUAUUUCGGAGCUGAAUGUUAGCAUUAUUUUUUGUUGUUAUUUUGUCUGAUGGAAAUAUUGAAGGUGAAGCCAUGUGUCUCUGGGAGCUAAUAAGGCUGGUAGGGUUCCUUUGGUGUGAUGCUGGCUUGGGGAGACCAACCUUGUACGUGCAUGUCCCAGCUGCAGAGCAAAAUCACUGCUCUAACUCCCAGAUAAAAGACAUGCAGAAGCCAGAAGGUGAUCUUUAGAAACAAAUAUUGUGGACUGAGUCGGUCGGCACCCAAGACAAGGAGUCAUCAGUUCGACUUGUUUCUUACAGCAGGAAUGAGUUGAGUAAGGAUGUACCAAGGGAUGAAGUGUGAAAGUGAGUUUUAGAAUAACCUGCUGUGAUAUGAACGAACAUGACCACUGUAGCUGAAAUGGUAUCUGCUGUAUCUGAAACUACUGCAGCAGUUCAUCUUAUCUGCCAGAAGCUUUGUCUUUUGUUCUGUAACAGUAAUGUGCAAUAGAUACAGAUAAAAAAAUAAAAUACAAAACAACCUGAGACAAGUAUAUCUGGUAGGCUGCUACAAUGUUGAUG
rnacentral:lncRNA from 1 species